rnacentral:lncRNA from 1 species
AUUUACCAUUAUUUUGAAAGAAAAAAGGACAUUGAUCUAUAUGCUGAAUGUUUCGGAGUAUUUGUUGUUCAUGGUUAUCUCAUUAUACUUCAUUUGAAAUACGAAUUUUUAGCCUUGUUUGAAUGCAACAAAACUUGAAAAUGUGCAGUAAUAUCUAUAUGAUUUCGUUUCGACAGUUAAACCUAAGAUCUAGUUAUAUUAUUUUAUUAGAACAAAAGUAAAGAAAAGCAAAGAUAAUGUAAGGAAAGAGACGAGGGAGAAUAAAGUGGAGAUUGGAAAUGUGAACCCAUUUGGUGUUGGCAGUGAGUGAGAUGGAACAUCACAUGCACUUAUGCUCUCUUUUGUCCCUUUGCUCUUGGAGCUUUCACUUCUCAAAAACCUUCUUCUCUGUUUUUUCCUUGCGACUCUAAUCCAACCCCACUUCGUAUUUAAUUCUUAAAGGUCCUUUUUUUAUCGUAAUCAUGACUUAUAACUAAUGAUAUGCUAAUUUGAUCUACCAUGCAUAUAGUCUCAACUCUCA